rnacentral:rRNA from 1 species
CCUACGGGGGGCAGCAGUGGGGAAUAUUGGACAAUGGGGGGAACCCUGAUCCAGCCAUGCCGCGUGUGUGAAGAAGGCCCUCGGGUUGUAAAGCACUUUCAGUGAGGAAGAACGCCUGGUGGUUAAUACCCAUCAGGAAAGACAUCACUCACAGAAGAAGCACCGGCUAACUCCGUGCCAGCAGCCGCGGUAAUACGGAGGGUGCGAGCGUUAAUCGGAAUUACUGGGCGUAAAGCGCGCGUAGGUGGCUUGAUAAGCCGGUUGUGAAAGCCCCGGGCUCAACCUGGGAACGGCAUCCGGAACUGUCAAGCUAGAGUGCAGGAGAGGAAGGUAGAAUUCCCGGUGUAGCGGUGAAAUGCGUAGAGAUCGGGAGGAAUACCAGUGGCGAAGGCGGCCUUCUGGACUGGCACUGACACUGAGGUGCGAAAGCGUGGGUAGCAAACAGGAUUAGAUACCCCGGUAGUC